AUCUAAUAUUAUUUUAAGAUUUCUACCCAUGUCCAUUCUCUGUCUUUCCAGAUGCAGACAUUGACCUUGAUGCAGACUUUGUGUACGAUUACUACACACUUCGUGUCGGAGGUCUGGUCUUCGCUGGAGUCAUUGUGUUCCUCUCCAUCAUUCUGCUGGCAGGCAACAAGAUCGCCAACUGUGGCAAAUCCAAG